GUAUUAUUCCAAGAAUAAUAUUUUCGGAAUGUCUCUGCACUUCGCGACUGCAUUCGCGACCGCCAUUGUGCUCAAGUCGUCAGAACCAAGGCCUUCUGCAUCAGAGAACCGAGCAAGCGUCCCAGUCCUCGAAGGUGUGGACUGACUUGGGAAUGAUCAUGGGGCUCGAGGAGGACGUGAAGGAGCAUGUCCUGCACAAAAUCAGACAUACCGCGAAGAGGUAUGCCCAGACGAUGAUAAACGUGGAGCCGGCCGACAAAGACGACGACGAGCUGCUAGCUCUACUUGCCUAUGGUUGUGGAUUGUGGAACAACCAUUGGCACCUUGGCGGAUCCGAGAAACGGGGUUCGUCAGGCAGGUGAGGAACUAUCGGUGGACGGUGUGGUGGUCUGCCAACUGCCGGCCACCAUGUUGGAGACCGUGGCCCUAAUGACGGCCGCCCACGCUGUCUUCUACACAAAGUUCACGGGGCCCUGCAGGGCCCUGUCCGAGAUUCUU